ensembl:lncRNA
UGUUCUAAAAGAGGAAACGGCUGGUGGUGAUGGAACAGAACCUGUUCUAAAAGAGGAAACGGCUGGUGGUGAUGGAACAGAACCUGUUCUAAAACAGGAAAUGGCUAGUGGUGAUGGAACAGAACCUGUUCUAAAAGAGGAAACGGCUGGUGGUGAUGGAACAGAACCUGUUCUAAAAGAGGAAACGGCUGGUGGUGAUGGAACAGAACCUGUUCUAAAAGAGGAAACGGCUGGUGGUGAUGGAACAGAACCUGUUCUAAAAGAGGAAAUGGCUAGUGGUGAUGGACUGAGGAGAUGCAUCUGAAAAGUUCUAAAACAGGAACUGUGUGUGUGUGUGUGUGUGUGUGUGUCGACUGAUUAUGGACAGCUGUGAGAGUCUAGGUUGGAACCCUGGAGGUAGAAACAACCCUUCUCUCUGACUCUGAACUCAACUCCCAGAAUGAGUCUAGACAGACAGACGGAGGGAACCGGCCCCAUGAUACAAGAGACUGGACUCAUGAACCACACAGACAGAUUGACAUAUGGAUAUUAUCUCCUGUUUGUAGCCACUAUCUCCAUUUCAAAGAGAUCUACUGAAGAGACUAUUACAGAGAGAGAGAGAAACCAUACAUUUCCUUUAUUUGUGACUAUUGGGCCGAGCAGAACCAAGGAUAGCAUGUGUGUUUCAGCUGCUGGUUCUGUUUCGGUUUACAGAUGCUGAAAUUGCCCAUAAGCUAUUUUUUGAAUACACAAACCUUCUCAUUAAAAAACACACACACACACACACACACACACAAACACACACACACACACAUAAUGCUCAUCAUGUAGGAAUUGGAUCCCAGGAAAGUAUUCUGCCAUCUUGACAGAUACCUGAACAAGGAACAUGUUUACUUCACCUGUGUGUUUUGUGUACCUCCUAAAGACAUAUAAAUAUCAUUUUUAAUGUGGACAUUUCAGACAUUGGACAGAAUAGCACAAAAAGAACCCUGUAAGAUGUUGACCACGUUAAGCUCAAUAUGUAUUCAUUCUAUGCUAAGUUUUCUGUUCUGCUGAUGCCUAACCGUGAGUUCAUAACACUGAACUCAGAAGUGCAUCUCGAUUUACAUGUUUUGUGUCUUUCUGUUCUUGAGAAAAGGUGUGAUGCUUUAGAAACACACUGUGAUUGUCAGUCUGUAGGAUAUGUCUAUGGUGUUGGUUUAGGUGAGUCUUUGGUUCAAUUGAAAUAUUGGUCCUUGUGUAUCUGAAGAAGCUGCAGUGUUCAGAACGACCUGCAGGGGUCUCCCUCCCACUGAGAAACACUAGAUCUGUCCUAUAGAACAGGACUGGCCAGUAUUCUAAAAGAGGGCCGGUGUGGGUGCAGGCUUUUGCCCCAGCCAAGCAGUAACACACCUGAUUCUAUAUCUGGUGGAUGUUAUCGUUGGAUGCUGAUGCAACACCACACACAUCUUUAAAUGCAGUGUUAACCUACAGCAGGGUUUCCCAGUGGUGUAGUAGGAGCUACACGGAGGUAUACACCCUAAACCCCACAGAUGUUUAAACAGAGGUGUAGGAGGUAUACGCUCUAAACCCCACAGAGGUUUAAACAGUGGUGUAGUAGGAGCUACACAGAGGUAUACACCCUAAACCCCACAGAGGUUUAAACAGUGGUGUAGUAGGAGCUACACAGAGGUAUACACCCUAAACCACACAGAGGUUUAAACAGAGGUGUAGGAGGUAUACACCCUAAACCACACAGAGGUUUAAACAGUGGUGUAGUAGGAGCUACACAGAGGUAUACGCUCUAAACCCCACAGAGGUUUAAACAGUGGUGUAGUAGGAGCUACACAGAGGUAUACGCUCUAAACCCCACUGAGGUUUAAACAGUGGUGUAGUAGGAGCUACACAGAGGUAUACGCUCUAAACCCCACUGAGGUUUAAACAGUGGUGUAGUAGGAGCUACACAGAGGUAUACACCCUAAACCCCACUGAGGUUUAAACAGUGGUGUAGUAGGAGCUACACAGAGGUAUACACCCUAAACCCCACUGAGGUUUAAACAGUGGUGUAGUAGGAGCUGCACGGAGGUACAGUGCCUUGCGAAAGUAUUCGGCCCCCUUGAACUUUGCGACCUUUUGCCACAUUUCAGGCUUCAAACAUAAAGAUAUAAAACUGUAUUUUUUUGUGAAGAAUCAACAACAAGUUGGACACAAUCAUGAAGUGGAACGAUAUUUAUUGGAUAUUUCAAACUUUUUUAACUAAUCAAAAACUGAAAAAUUGGGCGUGCAAAAUUAGUCAUUAUGUGCUGUUUUUGAAUGAACAUUUCCAAAUGCUUUCCCAAGGAAAACUUUCAAAUGGAAGCUGCCAUAUGUAACUUUGUGCAACCAAACAAGUUCACAUAGAAAUGUGAAAACGUAUUGCAGAGGUUGAGAUUGUACAAAGACUAUACAAUUACUUAUUGUUUUGUCACAAACUGAAAUUAGGUGAACUUUGAAUUUUAGCAACCAGGAAAUGGUGGAGCUAUUUCUGUAUAGUGCAUCUUUAAAUGUUGACUACAAAUUAGGCCUACAUGAUAUAAUUAUGAUUGUAUCAAUCUGGAGGGCAUUUCUUUUGAAAACUCUGCAAUCACAUGUACUCUACUGUAGGCCUACAUUGUAGAGUACAGACACUGCGAGCCACAUGGUAUUUGGCUAGUUGCUUAAUUAUUUUAAAGGGCAACUAGACCCUCCCAAAAAUAGUAUUUUAUAUUUUUCCCAGACCUAAAAAAUGGUCUCCUUGUGCGGUAUAAGCAUUGAUGUGGGCUUAACAUGCAUUUGUUGUUUUUCUAUGAAAGAUUUUUCUGGCAAAAUGAUGGUGUACUCACUUCUCCAGGCACCGCUACACCAAUGGGUUUUCCUGUAUCUGUGAGUGAUUUGAUUUGGGACCUGAAUCUCCAACAGGCUUAGGCUGUUACGCAAUGGAUCAUCAUGUCUCACUCCCAUAGGCUGCUUCACUUGUCAAUCAUGUCUCUGCUAUCUUGCCCUGUAAUCUGUGAUAUCUCUCUCUCAAACACUCCUCUGUCUCUCAUCGUCAACUCUUUAUUUAAGAUAUUAAGCAAGCUCUACUUCUCUUAUCCUACAGUAUCUUCACCUGUCUGACAAAUCAAGCAAAUGAGAAAAUAAAACAAUCUGAAGAGAACCACACAGGGUUGAAUUGAUGAAAGCUGAAGUCAUUUAGUAAUUUAACUUGUUGACUUAUUGUAAUGAAUUGUAACAUUAUUUUAAAUGAAAUGAUUUAUUAAUGCAAAACAUUGAUGUCUUCUCGCCUUUGGUGUCUCCAACUCUAAUCUCAAUUACCCAGUUUCUAGUGCCCAAGAAUGGAAAGUGUGUGUGGGGGGGCACUUGACACCAGACUGUGUUUGUGUUUGUCCAUCGAUUAUUUCAUUGAUAAACACCCUGGUAGAUAUCAGGUGAUGAAGAGAUAAUAAUGUUGUUCCACUGAAGCCAAAUAAAAUCUAAGAUAAGUCGGU